GGUUGUUUUUGGCAGAUAUUAAAGAUCAUGGGUGGGCGGGGCAAAUGGAGCAGUUUUCUACAGUCGAGUAAAAUUCCAGGAAAGAGCUGGGUGUGGCUUUCCUUUAAAUCACAUGAUCAACAGCUUUAAGAUGGAGGCAACUCGCUCAGUGUUUCCUGUUUCAUUCUUAGACUGUGGCGAUGGCCGACCAAGAGCAAAAUAGAAGACAACAAUUUCUCAAAGGAGGUUCAAAACUAAUGCCUACAAGAUUACCAAGAGGAUGGUUCGG